rnacentral:rRNA from 1 species
CGGACGAGUGAGUAAUGCAUGGGAAUCUGCCCGGUAGUGGGGGAUAACCUUUCGAAAGGAAGGCUAAUACCGCGUACGUCCUACGGGAGAAAGUGGGGUUUCGGCCUCACGCUAUCGGAUGAGCCCAUGUCGGAUUAGCUAGUUGGUGAAGUAAUGGUUUACCAAGGCGACGAUCCGUAGCUGGUCUGAGAGGAUGAUCAGCCACACCGGAACUGAGACGCGGUCCGGACUCCUACGGGAGGCAGCAGUGGGGAAUAUCGGACAAUGGGGGCAACCCUGAUCCAGCCAUGCCGCGUGUGUGAAGAAGGCCUUCGGGUUGUAAAGCACUUUCAGCGAGGAGGAAAGCAGUUAGGUUAAUACCCUGAUUGUGUGACGUUACUCGCAGAAGAAGCACCGGCAAACUCCGUGCCAGCAGCCGCGGUAAUACGGAGGGUGCAAGCGUUAAUCGGAAUUACUGGGCGUAAAGCGCGCGUAGGUGGCUUGAUAAGCCGGUUGUGAAAGCCCCGGGCUCAACCUGGGAACGGCAUCCGGAACUGUCAGGCUAGAGUGCAGGAGAGGAAGGUAGAAUUCCCGGUGUAGCGGUGAAAUGCGUAGAGAUCGGGAGGAAUACCAGUGGCGAAGGCGGCCUUCUGGACUGACACUGACACUGAGGUGCGAAAGCGUGGGUAGCAAACAGGAUUAGAUACCCUGGUAGUCCACGCCGUAAACGAUGUCGACCAGCCGUUGGGUGCCUAGCGCACUUUUGUGGCGAAGUUAACGCGAUAAGUCGACCGCCUGGGGAGUACGGCCGCAAGGUUAAAACUCAAAUGAAUUGACGGGGGGCCCGCACAAGCGGGGGAGCAUGUGGUUUAAUUUCGACGCAACGCCGAAGAACCUUACC